UGGCGGCGUGCUUAACACAUGCAAGUCGAACGGUGAAGCCAAGCUUGCUUGGUGGAUCAGUGGCGAACGGGUGAGUAACACGUGAGCAACCUGCCCUGGACUCUGGGAUAAGCGCUGGAAACGGCGUCUAAUACUGGAUAUGAGCUCUCAUCGCAUGGUGGGGGUUGGAAAGAUUUUUCGGUCUGGGAUGGGCUCGCGGCCUAUCAGCUUGUUGGUGAGGUAAUGGCUCACCAAGGCGUCGACGGGUAGCCGGCCUGAGAGGGUGACCGGCCACACUGGGACUGAGACACGGCCCAGACUCCUACGGGAGGCAGCAGUGGGGAAUAUUGCACAAUGGGCGGAAGCCUGAUGCAGCAACGCCGCGUGAGGGAUGACGGCCUUCGGGUUGUAAACCUCUUUUAGCAGGGAAGAAGCGAGAGUGACGGUACCUGCAGAAAAAGCGCCGGCUAACUACGUGCCAGCAGCCGCGGUAAUACGUAGGGCGCAAGCGUUAUCCGGAAUUAUUGGGCGUAAAGAGCUCGUAGGCGGUUUGUCGCGUCUGCUGUGAAAUCCCGAGGCUCAACCUCGGGCCUGCAGUGGGUACGGGCAGACUAGAGUGCGGUAGGGGAGAUUGGAAUUCCUGGUGUAGCGGUGGAAUGCGCAGAUAUCAGGAGGAACACCGAUGGCGAAGGCAGAUCUCUGGGCCGUAACUGACGCUGAGGAGCGAAAGGGUGGGGAGCAAACAGGCUUAGAUACCCUGGUAGUCCACCCCGUAAACGUUGGGAACUAGUUGUGGGGACCAUUCCACGGUUUCCGUGACGCAGCUAACGCA
rnacentral:rRNA from 1 species